rnacentral:rRNA from 1 species
GACGAACGCUGGCGGCGUGCUUAACACAUGCAAGUCGAACGGAAAGGCCCUGCUUUUGUGGGUUGCUCGAGUGGCGAACGGGUGAGUAACACGUGAGUAACCUGCCCUUGACUUUGGGAUAACUUCAGGAAACUGGGGCUAAUACCGGAUAGGAGCUCCUGCUGCAUGGUGGGGGUUGGAAAGUUUCGGCGGUUGGGGAUGGACUCGCGGCUUAUCAGCUUGUUGGUGGGGUAGUGGCUUACCAAGGCUUUGACGGGUAGCCGGCCUGAGAGGGUGACCGGCCACAUUGGGACUGAGAGACGGCCCAGACUCCUACGGGAGGCAGCAGUGGGAAAUAUGGCACAAUGGGCGGAAGCCUGAUGCAGCAACGCCGCGUGCGGGAAGACGGCCUUCGGGUUGUAAACCGCUUUCGCCUGUGACGAAGCGUGAGUGACGGUAAUGGGUAAAGAAGCACCGGCUAACUACGUG